ACUAUCGUGAGGUAGCAGGGAGAGGAAGGGAUAGCGAAAUCGUGGCUCUACGAACAGGAACGUGAUAGUAAGGCGUAUAUAGCGGAUAAGGAGGCUUCAAACUCUAAAGUCCAAAAAGGUAGUCGUAACCUAUAUGCGUAAAUCACGAGAGUAAUUGAAUUCGGACUAAGGUUUGUGUG
rfam:Streptococcus pneumoniae R6, complete genome.